rnacentral:rRNA from 1 species
AUUCCAGCUCCAAUAGCGUAUAUUAAUGUUGUUGCAGUUAAAAAGCUCGUAGUUGGAUUUCUGCGCCGCGCAACUCGGUCCGCUGCACUGCAGUGUGAUGUGUGGUUGGAGCGUCGCAUCCUUGUGGGGACUGUUUGUGUCAUUAAUUUGAUGGAUUCCGGAACCGCAUCGUUUACUGUGAAAAAAUUAGAGUGUUCAAAGCAGGCUUAUGCCGUGAAUACAUUAGCAUGGAAUAAUAAGAUAGGAUCUUGAUACUAUUUUGUUGGUUUGCGUGUCGAGAUAAUGAUGAAUAGGGACAGCUGGGGGUAUUUGUAUUCCAUAGUCAGAGGUGAAAUUCUUGGAUUUAUGGAAGACAAACUAAUGCGAAAGCAUCUACCAAGGAUGUUUUCAUCA